rnacentral:rRNA from 1 species
UCAAGCACUGGCGGGCGGGCGCGGUAAUGCGUGGGGGGCGAUGGUGGCCGGGAUUCAGUUGGCGUAAAGGGCUCGUAGGCGGUUCAGUAAGUCAGGUGGGAAAGCGCCGCGCGCAACGCGGAGCGGCCACCUGAUACUGCUGUGACUCGAGUCCGGUAGGGGAGUGUGGAAUUCCCGGUGUAGCGGUGAAAUGCGCAGAUAUCGGGAGGAACACCAGUAGCGAAGGCGGCACUCUGGGCCGUGACUGACGCUGAGGAGCGAAAGCGUGGGUAGCAAACAGGAUUAGAUACCCCAGUAGUC